GAUGAACGCUAGCGGCAGGCCUAACACAUGCAAGUCGAGGGGCAGCACGUAAAGUAGUUUACUACUUUUGGUGGCGACCGGCGCACGGGUGCGUAACGCGUAUGCAACCUACCUUAAACAGGGGGAUAAUUCGGAGAAAUCUGGUCUAAUACCCCAUAACAUCAGAGAAGGCAUCUUCUUUGGUUAAAAACUCCGGUGGUUUAAGAUGGGCAUGCGUUGUAUUAGUUAGUUGGUGAGGUAACGGCUCACCAAGACUACGAUACAUAGGGGGACUGAGAGGUUAACCCCCCACACUGGUACUGAGACACGGACCAGACUCCUACGGGAGGCAGCAGUGAGGAAUAUUGGUCAAUGGGCGCAAGCCUGAACCAGCCAUGCCGCGUGCAGGAAGACGGCUCUAUGAGUUGUAAACUGCUUUUGUACGAGGGUAACCCCGGAUACGUGUAUCCGGCUGAAAGUACCGUACGAAUAAGGAUCGGCUAACUCCGUG
rnacentral:rRNA from 1 species